rnacentral:lncRNA from 1 species
UCCUUCUGGCUGUCUAUAUAUACUGUAUAGGUAGUGAUUUUGUCGAGAAUAAUUUAUUUUGACCCAAACACAAAUUACCAUGCAUGUGAACCAAGAUGAUGUGUUGAAUAACUUAAUUAACCCCUUUACCACAAGUGAUGUGUAACUAAUAUUUAUAUUAUGUUUACAUGCACAAACUGAAUGUAUAUUUGUACUAUAUUUUAUUUUACUCAUAUGCUUCAAUCAGGACCUCGUGUGGAAGUGGGAGAAGGGACGCCACCAAUCUGUUCUGUUUCUUGUUGCUCCAACAAUAUGUGCCAGUUCGUACAUGCCAUAAUAUGCUUAUCUUUGUUCCAUCUGAUAUGUUAAACAUUGGAAAAAUGUAUACUUAUGCAAGGAUUUCUGCCACACGCUAAGACACCCAUAUUAGGCUCAUAUAUCUGAAGUACGUAACCUGAACCCCUCAAAGAAACGGUAACAAAACUAGUUCUAACGGGUCCAUAGUCACUUUGAAGUAAGUUCUGAAUGUAUUUCUAUCUACUAUGUAUCCUAGUAAUUUGUUAUGUAUAACAAAGAUUACAUGGCCUUCAACAUUUGUUCGUGACUAAUAACUUGCCUCUAUCACUACUUGCAUCAUGUCAAUUCAUUGUGUGUUAAGAGUUCAUUUUUUUUAUUUUCUUUGUAGAUUCAAAAGAUAUAUGGAUGAUUAUAUGGGUGGUGUGGCAAGUAUACUGCAAUGAUGACGAUGAUGUUUCGGUUCAUGAUGAUGAUGAUGGUGGACGCUUUCAGUUUUAGUUAAGUUGUAGGGAUGGUGUUCCUGUUGGAUCAUGUUACUCGAUUAAAUUUUAAUUAAGUUGCAGGGAUGUGAAGAAAACAUUUAGAUUAUGUAUCACAUUGGGAUGAUGUUCCUCAUGUAAUAUCCACUAUUGUAAUACAAUAGUUUUAUCCAAUAUAAGAUUUCUUCCCCUAGUGAAUAUAUUCUCUUGUUUUUUUGCCCAGUGUGUGG